UACAGAGGUCUCAAGCGUUGUUCGGAUUCAUUGGGCGUAAAGGGUGCGUAGGUGGCGCCGUAAGUCAGGAGUGAAAUUUCGGAGCUUAACUCCGAAACUGCAUUUGAUACUGCGGUGCUUGAGGACUGGAGAGGAGACUGGAAUUCACGGUGUAGCAGUGAAAUGCGUAGAUAUCGUGAGGAAGACCAGUGGCGAAGGCGGGUCUCUGGACAGUUCCUGACACUGAGGCACGAAGGCCAGGGGAGCAAACGGG
rnacentral:rRNA from 1 species